rnacentral:rRNA from 1 species
UACGUAGGUGACAAGCGUUGUCCGGAUUUACUGGGCGUAAAGAGCGCGCAGGCGGUCGUUCAAGUCGAGUGUGAAAGCCCCCGGCUCAACUGGGGAGGGUCACUCGAUACUGAUCGACUCGAAGGCAGGAGAGGGAAGUGGAAUUCCCGGUGUAGUGGUGAAAUGCGUAGAUAUCGAGAGGAACACCAGUGGCGAAGGCGAGUCUCUGGACGACUCCUGACACUGAGGCACGAAAGCCAGGGGAGCAAACGGG